rnacentral:lncRNA from 1 species
UAGAUAUUCAGAAUUGAGAGUUCCUCUUGGAGGAUUUUACCUUUGAUGAGUAUGAAGUGCCCCUCCUUGUCUUUUUUGAUUAUUUUGGGUUGGAAGUCAAUUUUGUUAGAUAUUAGGAUGGCUACUCCAGCUUGUUUCUUCACACCAUUUGCUUGGAAAAUUGUUUUCCAGCCUUUCAUUCUGAGGUAGUGUCUAUCUUUUUCUCUGAGAUGAGUUUCCUGUAAGCAGCAAAAUGUUGGGUCUUGUUUGUGUAGCCAGUUUGUAAGUCUAUGUCUUUUUAUUGGGGAGUUGAGUCCAUUGAUAUUAAGAGAUAUUAAGGAAAAGUAAUUGUUGCUUCCUAUUAUUUUUGUUUUUAAAGUUGGCAUUCUGUUCUUGUGGCUGUCUUCUUUUAGGUUUGUUGAGGGAUUACCUUCUUGUUUUUUCUAGGGCAUGGUUUCUGUCCUUGUAUUGGUUUUUUUCUGUUAUUAUCCUUUGAAGGGCUGGAUUCGUGAAGAGAUAAUGGGUGAAUUUGGUCUUGUCGUGGAAUACUUUGGUUUCUCUAUCUAUGGUAAUUGAGAGUUUGGCUGGGUAUAGUAGCCUGAGCUGGAGUUUGUGUUCUCUUAGUGUCUGUAUAACAUCUGUCCAGGCUCUUCUGGCUUUCAUAGUCUCUGGUGAAAAAUCUGGUGUGAUUCUGAUAGGCUUGCCUUUAUAUGUUACUUGACCUUUUUCCCUUCCGGUUUUUGUAUUCUAUCUUUAUUUAGUGCAUUUGUUGUUUUGAUUAUUAUGUGUUGGGAGGAAUUUCUUUUCUGGUCCAGUCUAUUUGGAGUUCUGUAGGCUUCUUGUAUGUUCAUGGGCAUCUCUUUCUUUAGAUUCGGGAAGUUUUCUUCAAUAAUCUUGUUGAAGAUGUUUGCUGGUCCUUUGGGUUGAAAAUCUUCAUUCUCAUCUACUCCUAUUAUCCGUAGGUUUGGUAUUCUCAUUGUGUCCUGGAUUUCCUGGAUGUUUUGAGUUAGGAUCUUUUUGCAUUUUCCAUUUUCUUUGAUUGUUGUGCCGAUGUUCUCUAUGGAAUCUUCUGCACCUGAGAUUCUCUCUUCCAUCUCUUGUAUUUUGUUGCUGAUGCUCGCAUCUAUGGUUCCAGAUUUCUUUCCUAGUGUUUCUAUCUCCAGUGUUGCCUCACUUUGGGUUUUCUUUAUUGUGCCUACUUCCCUUUUUAGGUCUUGGAUGGUUUUAUUCAAUUCCAUCACCUGUUUGUUUGUGUUUGCCUGCAAUUCUUUAAGGGACUUUUGUGUUUCCUCUUUAAUGUCUUCUACCUGUUUGGUUAUGUUCUCCUGCAAUUCUUUAAGGGAUUUUUGUGUUUCAUCUUUAAUGUCUUCUACUUGUUUAGCAGUGUUCUCCUGUAUUUCUUUAAGUGAGUUAUUUAAGUCCUUCUUGAUGUCCUCUACCAUCAUCAUGAGAUAUGCUUUUAAAUCCAGGUCUAGCUUUCCAGGUGUGUUGGGGUGCCCUGGACUGGGUGAAGUGGGAGUGCUGGAUUCUGAUGAUGGUGAGUGGUCCUGGUUUCUGUUAGUAAGAUUCUUACGUUUACCUUUCGCCCUCUGGUAAUCUCUGGAGUUAGUUGUUAUAGUUGUCUCUGUUUAGAGAUUGUUCCUGUGGUGAUUUUGUUACCCUACAUCAGCAGACCAGGGAGACUAGCUCUCUUCCCUGAGUUUCAGUGGUCAGAACAGUCUCUGCAGGCAAGGUCUCCUCUUUCAGGGAGGUGCACAGUUAUCUGGUGUUUGGACCUCCUCCUGGCCGAAGAUGAAGGCCCAAAACAGGAUCUUUCCCAGAAGCUGUGUUUCUUUGGCCUGCAGACUGCCCGCCGCAGAGUCCGGGAACCAAGGUGGCCCCCGCGGGACGUGAGAAGCUGCUGGCCUCUGUGUUCCACACUCUCACCUGCAGACCACCCGCUGCGGAGUCCGGGAACCAAGGUGGCCCCCGCAGAACGUGAGGCAGAAAGAAGCCUCUCGGGCCGGGCGGACCCCUGUGCUCUCACCAGGAAGGUGGUCGGUUGUUUGGAGCCGGAAAUGGCGCUGCCUCAGAUGCUCUGUGGCUCUCGCCUGUCCCAGGAGCUGCUGGCCUCUGUGUUCCACACUCCCACCUGCAGGCUGCCCGCUGCGGAGUCCUGGAACCAAGGUGGCUCCCGUGGAAGCUGAGGCAGAAGCCUCUCGGGUGGACACCUGUGCUCUGACCAGGAAGGUGGCCGGUUGUCUGGAGUCGAAAAUGGUGCCGCCUCAGAGCCAGGUAUCUCUGACUGGAGCCAGAUUCCUUGAGUCAGGUGGAGCUCUGGGAUGCCUGUUCUAAUGAGAGACACAGGAAACCCACCCUGACCAGAGACAGAUUGUUUACCUCCAAAGAAAUGGGCAUUAACCCAGGAUCCCAGAAGGAAGGUGGAGUUAGGAUGGUUGUGAGAACAAUCAUGAAGGAGGAGCUGGAGGCCUCACAGACAAAAUCUUCCCUAUGGGACUUGUUCCGUACACCCAACCUGCGUAAGCGGAUAUGCCUCCUGUCCCUAGUGAGAUUUGUGGUGUGGACAUCUCUGUAUGGCCUGCUGAUCAACUUCCAGCACCUGAGGACUAAUGUCUUCCUAUUGCAGUGUCUUUUUGGUACAAUCACCAUUCCAGCCAAUUUAGUUGGAAUUUUUUUUUUUUUUUUUUUUUUUGGUGAAUCACUUGGGCCGCAGAAUAUGUCAACUAUGCCUGAUUGGAAUUUCCAUUUUGGCCAUAAUUUUUGUGCCUCAAGGUGAGAAAAAGAUACAGGGUGAGGAAAGAAAUGAUCUCCUCCUCUUUCUUGGGACUUAUAGGCUCACCUAUAAAAUCAGAACAAAACAUGUUCUAAGGAUUUUUUUGUGUGGCUAACCUGGGUGUUUAGAGCACACUAUUCCAUUAAGGUACCUAGAGUCGAAAGUCAGUCACAUUUGGUUAGAGUAGAUGAAUAUUUAUUAUAUUCAAGAUGUACAUGAAAACUGGUGCCAAAUAUUCCCAAGUUUUGUUAUUCCACAUAAGACCUUAUAAUCUAAUUGACCAUGUCCUGCUCUAUUUUAUUACUUCAUCUUCAGUAAGAAUUCAUUUUCUGAACUCUCUGUAUAUACUAUAUGAGCCUCAUGAUAUAAGGACACAAAUACAACCCUCAUUUGGAAAUCAA